AACUCAGAAGCUAGUCUGGUCCUAAGACUACAGUUUUCUUUCCUUAUUUCAGAUGAAAAUUUACCUUUUCUAUUGUGGGAGAGGCGUUUCAGUUUUUCAAAAGGGAAAUGUAGGAAACUAAGGAGAAAAUAAGCAUAGGUAUAAAUGAACAGAGAACAAAUUAUUGACUAACCUAGUAUUGUUUACAGAGAACAAAUUAUUGACUAACCUAGUAUUGUUUACAGAGAACAAAUUAUUGACUAAUGCAGCAUUGAUUUGGCUGAUGCUUUAUAAGACAGCUAUUCCUAGAGUCAUUUUCCUUACCCCUGCUAUGUCUAGCUGGAUGAUUUGUCUAGUUGGUUAUCUUUUCCAUCUCCUAUUUGUCACUUUGUGUGUUUGUUUGUGACGGAGUUUUGCUCUUGUCACCCGGGCUGGAGUGCAGUGGCGUGAUCCCAUCUCAUUGCAACCUCCACCCUGCUGGGCUCAAGAGAAUCACUUGAACCUCGCAGGUGGAGGUUGCGGUGAGUGGAGAUUGCACCACUGUACUCCAGCCUGGGCAACAGAGCGAGAUUCUGUCUCAAAAAAAUAAAUAAAAUAAAAAUUAAAAAGCAGUUACUCUGUGUAUGUCUGUAAUUUGUUUACAAGUUUCUCUUUUGACAAUAAUUUUGCAUUCAGCAAAUACUUCCUAAUUGAUAGGAUGAGGAACCCAGAGAUUCAGAUUGUGACUUAAAACUCUUAUAAUAUCAAUUCCAAAUAUAGAUAAAUACAAAACCAUGAUUUAUGAGACUAUGUCUGUAACUUGUGGGGUUUUGGUAGUAUUACAUCCAGCCAUUUAGGCAUAUUUAUUGGAUGACCACUCCUGUCACAGGAUUAAAGUUUAAAAAAAAAAUCUGUCUUUAAUAGACAUUGACUUGGACCUAAAACCAUCAGUAAUCUAGGUUAAAUAUUGGCGUGAAAGCAAAAGUGACAACAGAAGGACACUCUACUAUAAUACUGAUCAUUGAUGGAUGUUCUGUAGUUAAAAGAAUUUAAAAGAAUCAUCUGGUAAUAGCGACUUCAAAACUGAAAACCUUAAACUACUUGGAAUGCGGAAUUUCGGGCCCUACAGCUACAGAAUCAGAAUCUGCAUUUAACAGAAGCUUCAAGUGAUUGAUAGGCACAUUACAAUUUAAGAAGAACUGAUCUAAUGGGUUUUAAACCAGUAUGUAAGAAAUGCUGGAUUCUUUAAAAAUGAUCAGUGGAACAUAGAAAUUAAUCUGAGACUGAGAAUUAAUCUGAGGCAGCUGUUUUCUGUCUUUCUGUAGUGACAUGGAUAGCAUUGAGAUUUGAAAGUGACGUUAGGCUUGCAUAUUCAUUAAAGAGUGACCACAGGGUUUUUGUGGCUACCUAAUUUUGUAUCUGUUUCCAAGAAAAAUUUGACACCUGAGAAUUUUUUAGUUCAAAUAAGCUAUAUGUGGGAUUAUAAUUUAAAC
rnacentral:lncRNA from 1 species